CUCUGCCAUUUAGGAGUUAAACCCCUUUGUUUAUGAACCCUAGUCACACCUCCCUGCAUGUGACUUGCACAGCCUUCCAUAAACACUUCCUGUAAAGAGAGCCAUAUUUAGGCUUUCUUUAUUGCAAGUUCUGUUUAAUUAAGAUUUUCUUAUCCCCUGCUAUGUUAAUAGCUUGCUAGACCCGGCAAGAGCCUCCUGUAUGUGAUUAAAGUUCAAUUUAGAGAUUGAGAUACAAUUAUUUAAGGUAAAUUACAUCUGUUUGAAAG